rnacentral:rRNA from 1 species
UACGGAGGAGGCAAGCGUUAUCCGGAAUUCUUGGGCGUAAAGAGUCCGUAGGUGGCCAUUCAAGUCUGCUGUUAAAGCGUGGAGCUUAACUCCAUACCGGCAGUGGAAACUGAAUAGCUAGAGUUCGGUAGGGGUAGCGGGAAUUCCCAGUGUAGCGGUGAAAUGCGUAGAGAUUGGGAAGAACAUCGGUGGCGAAAGCGCGCUACUGGACCGAAACUGACGCUGAGGGACGAAAGCUAGGGGAGCGAAAGGG